rnacentral:tRNA from 1 species
GUGGGAAUAGCUCAGUUGUAGAGCACAUGCUUAGCACGUGUGAGGUCCUGGGUUUGAUCCCCAGUACCUCCA